rnacentral:rRNA from 1 species
CCAGACUCCUACGGGAGGCAGCAGUGGGGAAUAUUGCACAAUGGGGGGAACCCUGAUGCAGCGACGCCGCGUGGGCGAGGAAGUAUUUCGGUAUGUAAAGCCCUAUCGGCAGGGAAGAAGAAAUGACGGUACCUGAAUAAGAAGCACCGGCUAAAUACGUGCCAGCAGCCGCGGUAAUACGUAUGGUGCAAGCGUUAUCCGGAUUUACUGGGCGUAAAGGGAGCGCAGGCGGAGGCACAAGUCGGCGGUAAAAUCGCGGGGCUCACCCCCGCUCCGCCGUUGAAACUGUGUCCCUUGAGUGCGCGAAGGGUAGGCGGAAUGCGUGGUGUAGCGGUGAAAUGCAUAGAUAUCACGCAGAACUCCGAUCGCGAAGGCAGCCUACCGGCGCGCAACUGACGCUCAUGCACGAAAGCGUGGGUAUCGAACAGGAUUAGAUACCCUCGUAG